CAGUCGCCGCGGUAAUACGUAGGUCCCGAGCGUUGUCCGGGAUUAUUGGGCGUAAAGGGCUCGCAGGCGGUUUCUUAAGUCUGAUGUGAAAGCCCCCGGCUCAACCGGGGAGGGUCAUUGGAAACUGGGAAACUUGAGUGCAGAAGAGGAGAGUGGAAUUCCACGUGUAGCGGUGAAAUGCGUAGAGAUGUGGAGGAACACCAGUGGCGAAGGCGACUCUCUGGUCUGUAACUGACGCUGAGGAGCGAAAGCGUGGGGAGCGAACAGGAUUAGAUACCCCUGUAGUCCCUGUCUCUUAUAA
rnacentral:rRNA from 1 species